AUCCAUCUGACGAGUCCCAAGUAGGACGAAAAGCGCCUUAUCCUGGAU
rnacentral:hammerhead_ribozyme from 1 species